UACGUAGGGUGCAAGCGUUUAAUCGGAAUUACUGGGCGUAAAGCGUGCGCAGGCGGUUGUGCAAGACAGUUGUGAAAUCCCCGGGCUCAACCUGGGAAUUGCAUCUGUGACUGCAUCGCUAGAGUACGGUAGAGGGGGAUGGAAUUCCGCGUGUAGCAGUGAAAUUCGUAGAUAUUAGGAAGAACACCGGUGGCGAAGGCGGCCCACUGUCCGGUACUGGACGCUGAGGUGCGAAAGCGUGGGGAGGCAAACAGG
rnacentral:rRNA from 1 species